rnacentral:rRNA from 1 species
AUUGAACGCUGGCGGCAGGCCUAACACAUGCAAGUCGAGCGAGCGGCGGACGGGUGAGUAAUGCCUGGAAAUUGCCCAGUCGAGGGGUAUAACAGUUGGAAACGACUUCUAAUACCGCAUACUUUUAGAUUGCCUAUGUGGGAUUAGCUAGUUGGUGAGGUAAUGGCUCACCAAGGCGACGCUCCCUAGCUGGUCUGAGAGGAUGAUCAGCCACACUGGAACUGAGACACGGUCCAGACUCCUACGGGAGGCAGCAGUGGGGAAUAUUGCACAAUGGGGGAAACCCUGAUGCAGCCAUGCCGCGUGUAUGAAGAAGGCCUUCGGGUUGUAAAGUACUUUCGGCGAGGAGGCGUUACUUGCAGAAGAAGCACCGGCUAACUCCGUGCCAGCAGCCGCGGUAAUAC